rnacentral:piRNA from 1 species
UCGACAGCUUGAUGGACGAAAUCUCUUU